AUGAAGUUGGGGCUGAUCUUGGUUUUCCUUGUUGCUAUAUUCAAAGGUAUCCAGUGUGAGGUACAGCUGGUGGAGUCUGGGGGAGGCUUGGUGAAGCCUGGGGGAUCCCUUAGGCUCUCCUGUGCAGCCUCUGGUUCCACUUUCAGUGAUUAUGCAAUGAACUGGGUCCGUCAGGCUCCAGGGAAGGGGCUGGAAUGGGUGGCAGUUAUCGAAUAUGAUAGCAGUGAGAAAUACUACGCAGACUCUGUGAAGGGCAGAUUCACCAUCUCCAGAGACAAUGCCAAGAACGAGCUGUAUCUUCAAAUGAACAGCCUGAAUGUUGAUGACACAGCUACGUAUUACUGUGCAAGAGACACAGUGAGAGGACUUCAGUGUGUCCAUUGUGAGGAGCAGCUGGUGGAGUCUGGGAAGGAUUAUUGCACCUGCGAG